UACGUAGGGUGCGAGCGUAAUCGGAAUUACUGGGCGUAAAGCGUGCGCAGGCGGUUCGUUGUGUCGGCGGUGAAAGCCCCGGGCUUAACCUGGGAAUGGCCGUUGAAACUGGCGAACUGGAGUGUGGCAGAGGGGGGUGGAAUUCCGCGUGUAGCAGUGAAAUGCGUAGAGAUGCGGAGGAACACCGAUGGCGAAGGCAGCCCCCUGGGCUAACACUGACGCUCAGGCACGAAAGCGUGGGGAGCAAACAGG
rnacentral:rRNA from 1 species